GUCCGAAGUCCGAACACGUAGGACAACGAUGACGGUUCGCUUGGUUGGUAAAGUAAGUCGCGCACUGUCGACUUACCUGCGAUGGAUAAUAACGAAGUUUAUUGUCGCAUCUCCUAAUUUUUUAAGCAUCGUCGUUUAGCCCGUAUUUUGUUAUUCAGUAUUAAUAAUUGAUAACAAUGAUAACAAUUGAUUCUUUUCUUGUUCAACAUUUGGUAAGUAUAAACUUUAAUAUUAAGAAUAAGCUUUGCGAUUACCGACAGUAAAUGGAACAAUUAGGAUGAUGUUUGUCUAAUUGUUAUUAUAUAAUCAAUUUUUUAUUUCGAUAAUAUGAUAAAAAGGUUAUGUAAGAUUAAUAAACUAUAUCAUAUUCUUUAUCGUGAUAAAGUUCUCGAUUCGUUGGUAACAUAUAGGUAUUUAUCACAAUUCGUGCAUAUACGACUAUCUUCAUCGUAUAUUUACCUAAUAAAAGAAUUAAUUUCUCGUGGCCUCCAUCUUCGUCUAACACGAUUCAAUACGCAAUCAUUUCUAUUGGAGCAUUGUUAAAUACUUUUCGAAGUGAACUCAUCGCUUGAAAUGAAAUAACCAAACAAAA